CCUACGGGGGGCUGCAGUGGGGAAUAUUGGACAAUGGGGGCAACCCUGAUCCAGCCAUGCCGCGUGUGUGAAGAAGGCCCUCGGGUUGUAAAGCACUUUCAGUGAGGAAGAACGCCUGGUGGUUAAUACCCAUCAGGAAAGACAUCACUCACAGAAGAAGCACCGGCUAACUCCGUGCCAGCAGCCGCGGUAAUACGGAGGGUGCAAGCGUUAAUCGGAAUUACUGGGCGUAAAGCGCGCGUAGGUGGCUUGAUAAGCCGGUUGUGAAAGCCCCGGGCUCAACCUGGGAACGGCAUCCGGAACUGUCAAGCUAGAGUGCAGGAGAGGAAGGUAGAAUUCCCGGUGUAGCGGUGAAAUGCGUAGAGAUCGGGAGGAAUACCAGUGGCGAAGGCGGCCUUCUGGACUGACACUGACACUGAGGUGCGAAAGCGUGGGUAGCAAACAGGAUUAGAUACCCUAGUAGUC
rnacentral:rRNA from 1 species